UACGGGGGGGGCAAGCGUUGUUCGGAAUUACUGGGCGUAAAGGGCUCGUAGGCGGCCAACUAAGUCAGACGUGAAAUCCCUCGGCUUAACCGGGGAACUGCGUCUGAUACUGGAUGGCUUGAGGUUGGGAGAGGGAUGCGGAAUUCCAGGUGUAGCGGUGAAAUGCGUAGAUAUCAGGAGGAACACCUGUGGCGAAAGCGGCUCACUGGACCACAACUGACGCUGAGGUGCGAAAGCGUGGGGAGCAAACAGG
rnacentral:rRNA from 1 species